rnacentral:rRNA from 1 species
GGGAUAAGCGCUGAAAGCAUCUAAGCGUGAAGCCCCCUCCAAGAUGAGACUUCCCACAGCGUUAAGCUGGUAAGACCCCUCAUAGACGAUGAGGUUGAUAGGUUCGGUGUGGAAGCGCGGCAACGCGUGGAGCUGACGAAUACUAAUCGGUCGAGGACUUAUCCACACAA